UACGUAGGGAGCAAGCGUUGUCCGGAAUCAUUGGGCGUAAAGCGCGCGUAGGCGGCCCGAUAAGUCCGCUGUAAAAGUCAACGGCUCAACUGUUGAAAGCCGGUGGAUACUGUCGGGCUAGAGUACGGAAGAGGCAAGUGGAAUUCCUGGUGUAGCGGUGGAAUGCGCAGAUAUCAGGAGGAACACCCAUAGCGAAGGCAGCUUGCUGGAACGUUACUGACGCUAGGGCGCGAAAGCGUGGGGAGCGAACAGG
rnacentral:rRNA from 1 species